GAUCCUGGCUUAGGAUGAACGCUGGCGGCGUGCUUAACACAUGCAAGUCGAACGAAGCUAAGGGAGCUUGCUCCCAAAGCUUAGUGGCGGACGGGUGAGUAACGCGUGGGUAACCUGCCCUAUAGAGGGGGAUAACGUUCGGAAACGAACGCUGAUACCGCAUAAACCAUAAAGAGCUGCAUGGCUCUGAUGGCAAAGAUUUAUCGCUAUAGGAUGGACCUGCGUUGGAUUAGCUAGUUGGUGAGAUAACAGCUCACCAAGGCGACGAUCCAUAGCCGGCCUGAGAGGGUGAACGGCCACAUUGGGACUGAGGCACGGCCCAAACUCCUACGGGAGGCAGCAGUGGGGAAUAUUGCACAAUGGGCGCAAGCCUGAUGCCAGCGACGCCGCGUGAAGGAAGAAGGUCUUCGGAUUGUAAACUUCUAUCAGCAGGGAAGAAUAAAUGACGGUACCUGACUAAGAAGCCCCGGCUAACUACGUGCCAGCAGCCGC
rnacentral:rRNA from 1 species